rnacentral:rRNA from 1 species
AGAGCGAACGCUGGCGGCAGGCCUAACACAUGCAAGUCGAGCGCCGUAGCAAUACGGAGCGGCAGACGGGAGAGUAACACGUGGGAACGUGCCCUUUGGUUCGGAACAACACAGGGAAACUUGUGCUAAUACCGGAUAAGCCCUUACGGGGAAAGAUUUAUCGCCAAAGGAUCGGCCCGCGUCUGAUUAGCUAGUUGGUGAGGUAACGGCUCACCAAGGCGACGAUCAGUAGCUGGUCUGAGAGGAUGAUCAGCCUCACUGGGACUGAGACACGGCCCAGACUCCUACGGGAGGCAGCAGUGGGAAUAUUGGACAAUGGGCGCAAGCCUGAUCCAGCCAUGCCGCGUGGAUGAUGAAGGCCCUAGGGUUGUAAAGUCCUUUCGGCGGGGAAGAUAAUGACGGUACCCGCAGAACGAAGCCCCGGCUAACUUCGCGCCAGCAGCCGC